rnacentral:rRNA from 1 species
AUCGAACGCUGGCGGCAGGCCUAACACAUGCAAGUCGAGCGAGCGGCGGACGGGUGAGUAGUGUAUGGGGAGCUGCCUGAUGGAGGGGGAAAACUACUGGAAACGGUAGAUACUACCGCAAACCGACCGAUGAGCCCACAUGGGAUUAGCUUCUAGGUGAGGUAACGGCUCGCCUAGGCGACGCUCCCUAGCUGGUCUGAGCGGAUGAUCAGCCACACUGGGACUGAGACACGGCCCAGACUCCUACGGGAGGCAGCAGUGGGGAAUAUUGCACAAUGGGCGCAAGCCUGAUGCAGCCAUGCCGCGUGUAUGAAGAAGGCUUUCGGGUUGUAAAGUACUUUCAGUCGGGAGGCGUUACCGACAGAAGAAGCACCGGCUAACUCCGUGCCAACAGCCGCGGUAAUAC